CCUUGAUAUGAUUAAAGGAAUUCCCCAAAAGAUCCUGGCAUUUGAGAAGUUCCUUGAAGAAAAUCCGUACUGGCGUGAUAAAGUGGUUUUGCUUCAAAUUGCUGUGCCAACAAGAACAGAUGUUCCUGAAUACCAAAAACUUACCAGUCAAGUUCAUGAGAUUGUUGGACGCAUCAAUGGUCGGUUUGGAACUUUGACUGCAGUGCCUAUUCAUCAUCUGGACCGUUCUCUUGACUUUCAUGCAUUAUGUGCACUGUAUGCUGUAACUGAUGUAGCGUUGGUUACCUCUUUAAGAGAUGGCAUGAACCUCGUCAGCUAUGAAUUUGUAGCCUGCCAAGAGUUGAAAAAAGGGGUCCUUAUUCUCAGCGAAUUUGCUGGUGCUGCACAAUCGUUAGGUGCUGGAGCAAUUCUGGUGAAUCCAUGGAAUAUAACAGAGGUUGCUGCUUCGAUUGGGCAAGCUUUAAAUAUGUCAGCUGAAGAAAGAGAAAAACGCCACAGGCAUAACUUUCUGCAUGUGACUACGCAUACUGCUCAAGAAUGGGCUGAGACUUUUGUG
rnacentral:misc_RNA from 1 species